UACGGAGGGUGCAAGCGUUAAUCGGAAUUACUGGGCGUAAAGCGCACGCAGGUGGCUGAGUCAGUCGAUUGUGAAAGCCCUGGGCUUAACCUAGGAAUUGCAGUCGAUACUACUCAGCUAGAGUAUGGGAGAGGGCAGUGGAAUUCCCGGUGUAGCGGUGGAAUGCGUAGAUAUCUGGAGGAAUACCGGUGGCGAAGGCGGCAUCCUGGACCGGCAUUGACGCUGAGUGAGCGAAAGCCAGGGGAGCAAACGGG
rnacentral:rRNA from 1 species